UACUACCGAAGCUACGGCAUCAGUAAUGAUGGGUAGGGGAGCUUCCCAUACGGGUUGAAGCAUGACCGUAAGGACAUGUGGACAGUAUGGGAGUGAGAAGGUUGGCAUGAGUAGCGAGAUGUGGGUGAGAAUCCCACAGGCCGUAAACCCAAGGUUUCCAGGGGAAGGUUCGUCCGCCCUGGGUUAGUCGGGACCUAAGCUGAGGCCGAAAGGCGUAGGUGAUGGAC
rnacentral:rRNA from 1 species